rnacentral:rRNA from 1 species
AGCGUAGGCGGACAUUUAAGUCAGGGGUGAAAUCCCGGGGCUCAACCUCGGAAUUGCCUUUGAUACUGGGUGUCUUGAGUAUGAGAGAGGUGUGUGGAACUCCGAGUGUAGAGGUGAAAUUCGUAGAUAUUCGGAAGAACACCAGUGGCGAAGGCGACACACUGGCUCAUUACUGACGCUGUGGCUCGAAAGCGUGGGGAGCAAACA